rnacentral:rRNA from 1 species
ACGGAGGGAGCUAGCGUUGUUCGGAUAUACUGGGCGUAAAGCGCACGUAGGCGGCGCCGUAAGUCAGGGGUGAAAUCCCGGAGCUCAACUCCGGAACUGCCCUUGAAACUGCAGUGCUAGAAUCCUGGAGAGGCGAGUGGAAUUCCGAGUGUAGAGGUGAAAUUCGUAGAUAUUCGGAGGAACACCAGUGGCGAAGGCGGCUCACUGGACCAUUACUGACGCUGAGGUGCGAAAGCGUGGGGAGCAAACAGGA